rnacentral:lncRNA from 1 species
ACUGCCCUGCGGGGCCUGCCCACCCUACUUCCAUCCUCCUCGGCCUCCUCUCUGACAGGGCCCUUUGCGUGUGUCUCCUCCUCCAGCCAGAGGCAGGUCUGGGCCCCAGGCUGGGGACCCCUGUGGGCCAAACACCAUGGAAGCCCUGCUAUCCAGGCUCCACUAGGCAGCACCGAUCCACUCUAAUAGCAGUUUCCAGCGUCCGGCGAGCACCUCGGCUGCCCUCCAGCCCUGAGGCCAGCUGGGCCCUGCUGUGCACAGGGCGGACAGGCUGUCUCACAUGGAACAGGGUGUGGAGCGGUGCGGGUGUGGCCCAGCAGCUCCGAGCGCAUGGGUAUGGCAGCCCCCUCCCCCCGCCAGGAGGCCUGGGAGCCUCUCCACAGUGGACUGUGGCCUCCUCAGCCCCAGGUGGCCUCUCAGACGGGGCAGAGUGAGAAGGUAAGGAAGUGAUGCCUCCUGACUUCCAGCCGCCACCCCAACAGCAGCGUGGGGCCCGCGUGACACUCUCUGGGCACCCUGGCAUGCAGGUGCCAGGUCCCCGGGAGGGCUGUCCUGGUUCCACCCAGGUCUUCGCCAGCAGCCAGUCCCAGCAGGACAGUGGGAGAAGAGGCCCUGGACCAGGGAAGCAGAGACGGGUCCCCACCCUCUCCAGCCAGCUGGAUCCCCAACCUGCUGGGCCUGGGUGCUAACAAACGGCCUCGCUCACUGUAAGCCGAGGAGUGUAGGGCAGCUGGGCACACCGCAGCAGGAGAGAAUCCUGGUCACCAGCAGGGGGGGCGUUGCCGCUGAGGUCACCUUCCUGAAGCCUCAGACCCCGCCCAGGAAGAGGCUGACUGUGCCCCUCAGCCGGCCGGAGCAGGGCGGCAGAGGCCGGGCGUGGCUGGGAAGGGAGCACUCCCGCCAGCCCUGUGUCCUCCUGGGGCGUCCUGCAGGGCCGGUUGCGCUGCGCUGGGGCUCCUGCAGCAACGCUUGGACCUGGUGGGAAAGUCGGUCUAUUCCUGGUUUGCUGACCGCGAGUGGGGAGCAUAUUGUGUCGGAUGUUUUCUUUUGCGUCGUCGAGGCAUGAUUGCCUGCCUGUUGGGUUGUCAGACGAUCUCUGCAUGCUAAGCCAGGCUCCAUUCCCCAAGUAACCUGCACGGGCGUGAUGCAGUAUUACCCUGGGGUUUAGUAUUGGGGAACGCUGGGUUUGGGGCAAUGUUGGGCACCAUGGCAGUGAUUUGAAAGUGUUUCUCCUCUUUUCUGAAAGCAAUUGUGUGACACUGACCUUCUUUUCUUGUUAGAAUUCACCAGUAAACGAAGAUGGGCCUGGAGUUUUCCUUUUUGGAAGGCUUCAACAGCACCUUCCAUUUCUCUCAUGGGUAGAGGACUGUCCUGCCCACUGAUUUCUCCUUGAACGUGGGUAGCUGGUGUCUCUUAAGGAACCAGUGUCUUGUCUGUAUUUGUUCAACUGGACAAAGAGUUGUUCUGGUGUCCUGGACCGUGCUUUAAGGACUGGUGUCAGUAGCAGAGGUCUGUCUUUCUGUUUCUGAUCUUAGUAAUUUGUGUCUCUAUUUUUUAAUUGGUCAAUCUGUCCGAAGGUUUAUUGGUUUCAUAGAAAACCAGAUUUUGGUUUAAUUCACUGCUCUUUUUCUGUUAUCAAUUCCACUGAUUUUUUAUUUUUGGUUUUUUGAGACAAAGUCUCGCUCUAUAGUUCAGGCUGGCUCGGAACUCACUGUGUAGCCCAGGCUGGCCUCCAACUUGUGGCGAUCCUCCUACCUCAGCCUCCCUAGUACCAGGAUUUUAGGCAUGCACCACCAUGCCUGGCCCAUUCCAUUGAUUUCUUUUCUAGUCUUUACUAUUCCCCUUUAUUCUACUUUUUUUAGGUUUGAUUUUCUCUUCAUCUUCAGUUUCUUUAAGUGGACACUUAAGACACUGAUUUGAAAUCUUUCCUUUUUCUAAUAUAGGCAUUUAUGGCUAAACACUUUCCUCUUUGCAUGGCUUUGCCUGCUGCCCAUGAGUUUUUUUUUAUUUUUGGUACCAGGGAUCGAACUCGGGUCCUUGCACUUGCAAGGCAGGUGACAGAACCACUGGCCUAAAUCCCCGACCCCAAACCAUGAGUUUUGAUAUGUUACUCUCUCUGCUUCAGUUCAAAGCACUUUCAGUGUUCUUUGAGAUUUCCUCUCAUGGGUAAUUGUGGAGCUGCUAUUUAAUCUAAUUUAAUCUCCUUAUGUUCCGAGACCAUGCUUUAUAUGAGUUCUCUCUGAGAGUUUGCCAGGCUGCUUUGUGAGCCAGAAUGCAGCCUGUCUUGCUGAAAGCUGUGUGCCCUUGAGCAGCGUGGGCUGCCGGAGUCUUUCUGCCAGUGUAUUGGUGUCAGGUGGAUUGAGCUGGCGAUGUCGGUCAGGUCCUCCACCAGGUCCUCCGCAGAGGCUGAAGUCUCCAACCACGGGAGAGGACUGGUGGGCCUCUGCCUCGGCCGCGCC